GCAAGUCGAACGGUAACAGGAAUUAGCUUGCUAAUUUGCUGACGAGUGGCGCACGGGUGCGUAACGCGUAUACAAUCUACCUUUUGCUGAGGGAUAGCCCAGAGAAAUUUGGAUUAAUACCUCAUGGUAUUAUUGAUAGGCAUCUAUUAAUAAUUAAAGGUUACGGCAAAAGAUGAGUAUGCGUCCCAUUAGCUAGUUGGUGAAGUAACGGUUCACCAAGGCAAUGACGGGUAGCGGGUUUGAGAGGAUGAUC
rnacentral:rRNA from 1 species